CCCUUAGAUGUUCUGGGCUGCACGCGCGCUACACUGAAGCGUUCAACGAGUAUUCACCUUGCCCGGGAGGGUUGGGUAAUCUUUUGAAAACGCUUCGUGAUGGGGAUAGAUUAUUGCAAUUAUUAAUCUUCAACGAGGAAUUCCUAGUAAACACAAGUCAUCAGCUUGCAUUGAUUACGUCCCUGCCCUUUGUACACACCGCCCGUCGCACCUACCGAUUGAAUGGUCCGGUGAAAUCUCGGGACGGCGGCUUGGUCGCUUGCGUCCGACUGCUGAAACUUGAUUAAACCAUAUCAUUUAGAGGAAGGUGAANUCGUANCA
rnacentral:rRNA from 1 species